rnacentral:lncRNA from 1 species
ACUAGCUCAACUGAAAAAACAAACAAACAAACAACAUCAACAACACGGAUGGCAAGCGGACAGCGGAGACAGAAUGCAGGACAAGGAAAGAGCUAAAUGGAAAGAACUGAAGAGUGGGGUUCUGCAGUGACCCAUUAGGGGACUUAGUGGAACCAGGACGGUGCCAAGACCACAGCUGAAGACCAGACCCAUCUGCUCCCUCCAUGUCCACAGCUGAAGAUAGACCCGUCU